CAGCCGCCGCGGUAACACGGAGGGUGCAAGCGUUAAUCGGAUUUACUGGGCGUAAAGCGUGCGUAGGCGGCUUCUUAAGUCGGAUGUGAAAUCCCUGAGCUUAACUUAGGAAUUGCAUUCGAUACUGGGAAGCUAGAGUAUGGGAGAGGAUGGUAGAAUUCCAGGUGUAGCGGUGAAAUGCGUAGAGAUCUGGAGGAAUACCGAUGGCGAAGGCAGCCAUCUGGCCUAAUACUGACGCUGAGGUACGAAAGCAUGGGGAGCAAACAGGAUUAGAUACCCCCGUAGUCCCUGUCUCUUAUAC
rnacentral:rRNA from 1 species